AACGAACGCUGGCGGCGUGCCUAACACAUGCAAGUCGUGCGAGAAAGUUCCUUCGGGAGCGAGUAAAGCGGCGCACGGGUGAGUAACACGUAGGUAACCUGCCCCCCAGUCUGGAACAACUAGAGGAAACUCUAGCUAAUGCCGGAUGAGACCACGAUCCCUUCGGGGUUGCGGCCAAAGAUGGCCUCUACUUGUAAGCUAUCGCUGAGGGAUGGGCCUGCGGGCCAUUAGCUUGUUGGUGAGGUAACGGCUCACCAAGGCUGUGAUGGCUAGCUGGUCUGAGAGGAUGACCAGCCACACUGGGACUGAGACACGGCCCAGACUCCUACGGGAGCAGCAGUGGGAAUAUUGCGCAAUGGGCGAAGCCUGACGCAGCGACGACCGCGUGGGUGA
rnacentral:rRNA from 1 species